CAGUAGCCACGGGAAUACGAAGGGUGCAAGCGUUACUCGGAAUUACUGGGCGUAAAGCGUGCGUAGGUGGUGGUUUAAGUCCGUUGUGAAAGCCCUGGGCUCAACCUGGGAAUUGCAGUGGAUACUGGGUCACUAGAGUGUGGUAAAGGAUAGUGGAAUUUCCGGUGUAGCAGUGAAAUGCGUAGAGAUCGGAAGGAACAUCUGUGGCGAAGGCGACUAUCUGGGCCAACACUGACACUGAGGCACGAAAGCGUGGGGAGCAAACAGGAUUAGAUACCCCUGUAGUCCCUGUCUCUUAUAC
rnacentral:rRNA from 1 species